AAUAGAUACCCAGGUAGUCCACGCCGUAAACGAUGAGUGCUAAGUGUUAGAGGGUUUCCGCCCUUUAGUGCUGCAGCUAACGCAUUAAGCACUCCGCCUGGGGAGUACGGUCGCAAGACUGAAACUCAAAGGAAUUGACGGGGGCCCGCACAAGCGGUGGAGCAUGUGGUUUAAUUCGAAGCAACGCGAAGAACCUUACCAGGUCUUGACAUCCCACUGACCGGUAUAGAGAUAUACCUUUCCCUUCGGGGACAGUGGUGACAGGUGGUGCAUGGUUGUCGUCAGCUCGUGUCAUGAGAUGUUGGGUUAAGUCCCGCAACGAGCGCAACCCUUGAUCUUAGUUGCCAGCAUUUAGUUGGGCACUCUAAGGUGACUGCCGGUGACAAACCGGAGGAAGGUGGGGAUGACGUCAAAUCAUCAUGCCCCUUAUGACCUGGGCUACACACGUGCUACAAUGGAUGGUACAAAGGGCUGCAAGACUGCGAAGUCAAGCCAAUCCCAUAAACCAUUCUCAGUUCGGAUUGCG
rnacentral:rRNA from 1 species